AAAAGCCAGGCGCGAGCAGGCUGCUUUAGGCUCAUGAAUGAAUGAUUUGGCAUGUUCGGGCGCCACCGCCCAUGGAAUUGUUACGAGGCGUUCAUGGCUUGCAGCGUUCUGCUGCUGCCCUUGCCAUUUCUUUCUGAUCUGAUACGGCUGCCGACUUGCCGUCCACAUCCCCCGGAAAGCAAGAACAAAGUUUGCACAUCGCGAGCGCCAAAACAAACAAGGACGGCGUUGCUCUCACCGGGGAACUGACGGCUGGGCUGGGAGUGAAGGAAGUGGAUGGCGGCAAUGAUCGCCGGAGCGCCGAGCUCACCCCCAACAUACUCCUAUCAUUUCCAAACCCUACCUCCCGCUCUCGGAAGCGCUCUUGUUUGCUAGGCUCUCUGUUUGGCUGAAAAUCGGUGCUGCAAACAUGUGAUCAGACGCAGGCAAGUUGUGUAGUACGUACUACUAUAUGACAAAGCAGACGGAUAUUCUAAUGUUCAGGCCACUAACUGUAAAAUAAUGGAGCUGGCAUUGAGAAAAGUGGAUUUGAAGUCUCAACUCUCGGCGAGUAUGGGGGUCUGAUUUAUCACAUCUCUCUCCCCCUCCUUUUCUGUUCUCAGGAACGAGAUCCUGAGAUCUGAAGAGCAAGCUGCAGCCGCUCGACUCACGCGAUUCCUCCGACUAGCCGGCGACUAGGAUCACCAAUCCUCCCACCAGCCGACUAGCUGCCGUCUUCUUCCCACAGCUUCUUCCACUCUGCAGAAAGAAACAUCUCUGCCUACCACUCCCUGAGGUUACCAUCUGCAAAUCUGUCUGCCGCCACCUCUCCCGCUCCUCUGAUUAGUAGCGGCGAUUUGGAGCGAUUAUCCCGAAUCAACAAUCUUGCAAAAGGCUUCUCCAGGGUACUCUCGCCCCACCUAACUGUUAAUGGGUCGCCAAGCCAGUGCUGCAAGAAAUGACCUCGAGCACAUGCUAUCUCACGAAAACGAACAACCAAAGGCCUUGCCAUUAUCACUUUUGGAAGAUAUUACAGAUGGUUUCUCUGAGAACCGUCAAAUUGGCAGCGGUGGGUUUGCGGUGGUUUAUAAGGGAGAGCUUGAGAAUGGGACCGUUGCUGUGAAGAAGCUGUUUGAAAGGCUUGAUAUUCCCGAUAAUAAGUUCAACGAAGAGAUUCGCUGUUUGAUGAAGGUGAAGCACAAAAAUAUAGUACGUUUUCUGGGUUAUUGUGCUAACGUACAAGGCGAAAUGGUAGGCUACGAUGGAGAUUUUGUCAUGGCAGAUGUACGUCAAAGGUUGCUCUGCUUUGAGUACGUACCUAAAGGAAGUCUUGAUGAGUAUAUCAAAGAUGCAUCUUUUGGACUUGGCUGGAUAAAGAGCUAUCAGAUAAUAAAGGGAAUUUGUGAGGGUUUACAUUACCUUCACGAGAAUCAUAUUGUUCACUUAGAUCUCAAGCCCGCAAAUAUUCUACUGGAUGACAAUAUGGUGCCGAAGAUUACCGACUUUGGCCUAUCAAGGUGCUUUGAUGAAAAGCAAAGCCGAGCUAUUACCAAAAAUAUGUCCGGAACGUGGGGGUAUAUGCCACCAGAGUUCCAUAAUGGAGACAUAUGCAUAAUCACAUACAAAUCAGACAUAUAUAGUCUUGGUGUCAUAAUUAUGGAGAUGCUGACAGGAAAAAAGUGGUAUCCUGCAUAUCCUGAUAUUGAUGAUGUACUUGAAAGUUGGAGGAAUAAGUUAGGGAACUCUCAACGGAGCAUACAGUUGAAACAGAUACGGUUAUGCACCGAGAUAGGGAUAGAGUGCAUUGAUGUUAACAGAGCAAACAGACCAGAUACAUCACACAUAAUCAAUAGGCUUGGUGAAACAGAAAAUAAAUGCAUGGAAAAUCUAGAGGAUGCCACCAACAACUUGUUUCUGAGGAGGAAAAAUGUUCAUCUUAUGAAUGAUAGUACCAAGAAGAAUAUCAUCGUUGGGCAGGGGAUAGCUACGAAUCUUCAUGCGGCCCAAGAAUGUCUCAAUGAUAAUCUUCAUAUUGUUGAAGUCGAGUCAGGUCCAUCUAUGUCUGCUGAUGAUUGUAACAUUCAAGAGGCCAACAAAUGUCUGUGUGAUAAUCUUCAUACUGUUGUAGCCGAGUAUGCUCCAUCUAUUUCUACAGAGGAUCGUAACCUUCAAGAGGCACUUCAAUUCAUUAAGGUUGAUCCCGUGGGAGUAAUUGGAAUAUGGGGUCCAGGUGGAGUGGGGAAAACACACCUUUUGAACAAUAUCAAGAACUCGCUUGAUGGAGACUUGACCUUUAACUAUGUUGUACAAGUGACGGCUUCAAGGGGGUGUUCGGUGGAAAAGAUCCGAACUGACAUUGCACGCCAACUCGAUCUGAAGUAUGAUGGUAAUGUGCAAUCUCAAUGUCAUGCCAUCUUUGAUUUCCUGAAGAAGAGAAGCUUUCUUAUACUAUUGGAUGACCUUUGGGACCAAAUAGAUCUGCAGGCAGUUGGCAUACCAUAUCCCCUGGGAAGUAUAGACCAAAUCAGGAGAAAAGUGGUGCUCACAACAAGAUCAAGAAAAGUUUGUGGUCAAAUGGAGGUGAGAAAAGAGCUUAAAGUAGCUUGUCUCCAAGAGGAGGAGGCAUGGCAACUAUUUCAAGAUAAGGUUGGCCAUGAAACUCUUUCUUAUAGUCCUCGCGUUGAUGCUCUCGCAAGAGAACUUGUGAUGGAAAUGAAGGGCCUGCCAUUAGCUUUGAUAACUAUUGGAAAGGCAAUGUAUGCGAAAUUUGAUAUGGCUGAGUGGGAAUAUGCCAUCCAAUAUAUGAAACGGACAUGUUGUGAUAACGAUGACCCCUUGGAUAUGGAAAGAGUUGUUUUCAGCCAGGUCAAGUUUAGUUUUGAUAGUUUACGAAACAACACUUUGAGGGAUUGUUUCUUGACUUGUGCACUAUGGCCAGAGAAUCAAAAGAUUCCUAAAGUAGAGCUUGCUAAAUGCUGGAUUGGCUUAGGUCUAGUGUUUGAGUCAGACAUACAAUGUUCCUACACAAAAGCAUAUAGUUUGAUGGGAGAGCUUUCAGCUUCAUGUCUGUUAGAUGGAUGUGGAAAGUUGUAUGAUUUUGUUAAAAUGCAUGACGUGGUUCGUGACAUGGCUUUAUGGAUCUCUUGUGGAUGCAGUGAGAACAAUGGCAAGUGGUUUGUUCGUGCAGGAGUUGGCCCGGAUGAAAAAUUUAGCAUUCCUUGGAACCAAGUUCGAUGCAUCUCAUUGGUCCAGAACCAUUUGUUGGAAUUUCCCCUGUGUGACUCGAAUCCCCGUUACAUGAGUAUCUUAUGUCUUGGAAAUAAUCAGUUGCAUGAAAGCAUAAUAGCUGGAGAAAUCAAGAAAUUCGCUUCACUCACAUAUCUGGAUUUGCGCUUUAACCGUCUGAGCCGAAUACCUGAAGAAUUAUGUUCCUUGCCAAACUUGGAACACCUUGAUUUGUCGGAUAAUCUUGAUGUGGAUGAAGUGCCUCACUGCUUUGGAAACCUCGUUAAGCUCAAGUUCCUGUACCUAGAAUCGACUAGCAUACAAAGGAUACCGGAGAGGGUCAUAUCUAGCCUUAAAGCAUUACAGCUAAUAGACAUCAGAACUGAUUUUUUUAGUCCAGUUUCUCACGAACUUCUUUCUAGAAUGCUUCGAGAGCUGGGCACCCUGCCCCACUUGAAAGCAGUUGGUAUCAUUGUGGAGUAUAAAAUACUACAAUUAAGAGGAGGCGGUGACCUCCCCAUCAGGUAUUUAAAUCUGCGGGGACUAGAGACACAUGCACUCAACUUCUCUGAUAUUCUAUCACAUGACUUUGCACGAAGGACCUUGUAUGAACUGCGAAUUCAAAUGUGCAAAAUGAAGGAAAUAAUUUUAAGUCACGAGUUUGCACAACCAAGCUGCUGUUUUGGUACACUCAAUCAGCUCCUUUUGUUUCAUUUGUCAGACUUGAGAGAGAUAAUUUGGAUGGAAACAUCUCCAACAUCUCUAUUUCCAAGGCUCACUUGUUUGACGGUGUUGUUUUGCGGAAAGCUAAAUGACCUCUCUUGGGCGAUGUAUCUGCCUUGCCUCGAACAACUCAUAAUAGGUGGUUGUUCUUUGAUGCAGCAAGCAUUUAUGAGGGAUCAUGGUGAUAAAAAUUGUAGCGAACAAAACAGCUCUAGUAAGACAUUUCCCUGCCUCAAGUAUCUGAGAAUUUCGAGGUGUGUAUCGCUGGUCAAUAUUGGCGAUCCGGAUGUGACAUUCCCAUCCCUAGAGCGGCUGGAACUUAAUGAUUGUCAAGAACUGAAGAGGCUUCCUUUCAGGACAAACAGCUUGCCACGAAAACUGCAGGUACUCGAGAUUGAUGUUGAAUCAUGGGAAAGAUUGGAAUUGGAAGAAGGUGCCAAAUCUUUCCUGCAACCCAGGCUUGAAAUUGUGGAAGAUGUACCAUGAACAAGAAUGGACAACUAUAUCAUUGUCUCGUCUCAAAGUGUUACGGUGCAUGUUCUUUACACACUGCCAUCGAAAACGCAUCUUUUAGCUCCUGAGUUGUAUUCAUGAUUUCGUUUAACAAUUCUUGAUUCUUGAUUGGCAGGAGUAUGUACUCCCUCCGAUUCAUAUUACUACAAAGUUGUACUAACUUUGUAAAAAUUUAGCCGACUUGUCCGGAGGUGUUCUAAUUUGUGUGCAAUCUGAUAAAACAAGGGUACUACUCGCCGGACGUAACUACUAAUGGGCCGCCAAGCUAGUGUUGCACGAAAUGACCUCGAGCAUAUGCUAUCUCAUGAAAACGAGCUGCCAAAGGCCUGGCCAUUAUCACUUUUGGAAGACAUUACGGAUGGUUUCUCUAAGAACCAUCAAAUUGGCAGCGGUGGGUUUGCAGUGGUUUACAAGGUAACACAACUCUCAACUUCCCUGGGUUGAUCUAAUAACUCAAGUUGAUGCAUAUUUUCUUCUUUAAUGAAUGAUACGCACACUCGUGCGUAUUCGAGAAAAAAAGUAUUUCAAUCUUCAUAUAUGUCAAAUAUGAAGAUGGAUCGGUGGAAGACGGCGGCGGCGAUCUCUGAGAAUGCGUCGGACCGGUGUGUGCCCCAGACCCAGUAUGAGUCUUGGUUGGGGCCUUCGGCUUUACAUGUUAGGAUUUGGUGCGAGGUCUGUUUGAUAUUCGGCUCGGGCCGGGGGUCAUCCUCCUUUUCCAAAAAAAAUAUGUCAAAUAUUAACACCUUACUUUCUCAAUUCUCUCUCCUUUAUAGAUGCAUCUUAUGGACAUGACUAGAUAAAGACCUAUGUGAUAGUAAAUGGUAUCUGUGAAGAUUUACAUUACCUUCACCAGAAUCGUAUUGUUCACUUGGAUCUCAAGCCCCCAAAUAUUAUGCUGGAUGGCAAUAUGAUGCCAAAAAUUACUGACUUUGGGCUAUCAAGGUGCUUCGAUGAAAAGCAAAGCCGAGUUAUUACCACAAAUACGGCUGGCACAUUGGGAUAUAUAGCACCAGAUCGAGUUUCAUGGUGGAGACAUAUACACGAUCACAUACAAGUCGGACAUAUAUAGUCUUGGUGUCAUAAUUAUAGAGAUGUUGAUAGGAAAGAAGUGUUAUCUAGCAUAUCCUGAUGUUGAUAAUGUAUGAACAAUACUUGCGACUAUUCCAUGAUAAAUGCUAGACCUCCCUCAAAAAAAGAUAAACACUA